rnacentral:rRNA from 1 species
CUAGUAAUGCAAGUCGAAUAAUGAACCUCACUUGUGGGGGGAUUAGUGGCGAACGGGUGAGUAACACGUGAGUAACCUGCCCUUGACUCUGGGAUAAGCCUGGGAAACUGGGUCUAAUACCGGAUAUGACCUUCCAUCGCAUGGUGGUUGGUGGAAAGCUUUUGUGGUUUUGGAUGGACUCGCGGCCUAUCAGCUUGUUGGUGGGGUAAUGGCCUACCAAGGCGACGACGGGUAGCCGGCCUGAGAGGGUGACCGGCCACACUGGGACUGAGACACGGCCCAGACUCCUACGGGAGGCAGCAGUGGGGAAUAUUGCACAAUGGGCGCAAGCCUGAUGCAGCGACGCCGCGUGAGGGAUGACGGCCUUCGGGUUGUAAACCUCUUUCAGUAGGGAAGAAGCGAGAGUGACGGUACCUGCAGAAGAAGCGCCGGCUAACUACGUGCCAGCAGCCGCGGUAAUACGUAGGGCGCAAGCGUUAUCCGGAAUUAUUGGGCGUAAAGAGCUCGUAGGCGGUUUGUCGCGUCUGCCGUGAAAGUCCGGGGCUCAACUCCGGAUCUGCGGUGGGUACGGGCAGACUAGAGUGAUGUAGGGGAGACUGGAAUUCCUGGUGUAGCGGUGAAAUGCGCAGAUAUCAGGAGGAACACCGAUGGCGAAGGCAGGUCUCUGGGCAUUAACUGACGCUGAGGAGCGAAAGCAUGGGGAGCGAACAGGAUUAGAUACCCUGGUAGUCCAUGCCGUACACGUUGGGCACUAGGUGUGGGGGACAUUCCACGUUUUCCGCGCCGUAGCUAACGCAUUAAGUGCCUCGCCUGGCGAGUACGGCCGCAAGGCUAGAACUCAAAGGAAUUGACGGGGGCCCGCACAAGCGGCGGAGCAUGCGGAUUAAUUCGAUGCACCGCGAAGAACUUACCUAGGCUUGACAUGAACCGGACCGCCGCA